CGGGCUGGCAGCAAGAUGGCAGCGCAGCGCGGGCGCUGCUGAUGAUUGGCGGCUGCGUCUUCGAGCCGCAAGGGAACAUGAGGCAGGUGAGAGUGGCCCGAGGCGUUGUGGGGCAACGCCAACCCCGCUGAGGGGGAGCCGCUCUGCAGAUCCGGCUGCGACCUUGAACCUGAACGGACGCAGGGGGGAAGGGGACAAUAAUAAGAGCGUACGUUAAAGACAGAGUCAGGAGGUUGCUUGGUAAACAUGAGUCCGCUCUUCCUCUAGAGAUAAAAACAAAAACAGAAUUACCUGGAAAAACUCAGCAGGUCUGGCAGCAUCGGCGGAGAAGAAGAGUUGACGUUUCGAGUCCUCAUGACCCUUCGACAGAACUCUAGAGAGGUGGCCGUGGAGGGGCUGGCCUGGCAGUGGGAAAGCUGCAGCGCCUCAAGGAGGGGGAAUGCUGGAACGUUUGCAGCCUCCAGGAAAAUUGAUGAGCAGAGGAAUGUUAGCUAGCAGGAAAACAAUAAGCCACAUGGCGAUUAGAAUUACGAGAAUGUGGCCUGAUUUAUAUAUAGCACUGCCAUUAAUCUAAUUACAGCAGUAACCUUAUGGUUAAUUGUGUUUUAAAACAAUCUAGGUAAUAAUCAUCAAGGACUAAUAAUCUCUGCCCACUCGACCAAGGCAUAAGUUCCACUUUCGUUGUUUCAAUCCUAUCCUAUGGGGACAAUGGUGAAGUAUUUCCUCGGUCUGAAUGAUCUGAAGAAUUCAUGGGAACAAGUAUUUGCUGCAUUCUGGCAGCGCUAUCCAAACCCAUACAGCAAGCAUGUUCUCACAGAGGAUGUCAUCCACCGUGAGCUAAUAAUCGGAAGUUGGAAUUUUUCUUGAAAUCAUUAUCGACCUCCACAGAAAUCGUAACACUGGUAAUACUGAAGUAGUACAAGAGUGUUGUGUAUAUGGAAUACAUCCUGAAAAUAAAAACUGGACUCAAAUCAAACGGGAGGCUUGGAUUUCUUCAAACUUGUACGGCUUCUCGUUAGCUAUUCAGGAGUGCGGCCUUGCCAGCUUUAAGAGUAGCAUAAUCAAGACCAUAAAAGGUUUUGAGUACGUUCUGGCUGGAAUGCAAGGUGAAACACCUACAAAGACAUUAAGAGAGACAGCUAAAGAAGCAACCGACAAGGCUAAAGAAACAGCCCUGGCAGCAAAAGAGAAAGCAAAGGAUCUGGCCAGCAAAGCAGGACCGCAGAAGAAACAGCAUUAUGUCUGAGACCUCUGCUUUCACCUUUCCACCUGGGAGAUCUGUCUACUGUGUCUGUACUUGAUAAAACUUUUAUACAACACAAUGAUGUGAAAUGUGUGCACCAUAACACAAAGCUGAAAUAGUGCUGGCUUCUGCCAUGCAGAGCAGUCAAAUAUGACCAAUAACCUUUAAACAUAAUUUCAUUCAUUAAUUAUCAAAUUUUCCAGAAAUUUGGUAAAGCAUCAUUAUUACAAUCCUACAGAUUAAAUAGUGAAUUAUAUGGAAGCUGCCAACAGAAUCAAUGUUAAGUAUUUAUAAUGAGCAAUGAAUUAACAAAGGAACUUGAGGGCAAUUAAUGAUUGGUAAUAAAUGCUGGCCUUGCCAGUGGCACCCACAUCCCAAGAAGAAAUGAAAAAAAAAUGCUUCUGUCCCUGGAUAAACUCAUCAAGCUGUUCUGUUUGCAGAAUGUUAUUUUAAGGACAUGUGGACAAAUUGCGAGAAGGAAAUAUAGUGAACAGUGUGAACCUUGGUAGAGAAAAUGGCCCUGCUUUCUUCUUCCUUUAGUAACUUAGACUGUUGUUGAAAGACCUUUCUUCAUUGCUAUGUGGGAUUGUGAUGUGACAGAAGUAGAGCUCUGAUCAUUGAAAACAAAAACAGCUGCUUCUCUGCAGGGAAUUCAGAGAAAGUAGGGUAGGUUGCAAAACAGCCAAGGUUGUCCUUUUGCACUACAUGGAUUAUAAGUUAUUUUGUGGGGUGCAAGGGAGGUAAGAAAAGACAAUGAAAAUAGAUCAUGUACUUGAAAUAUCUGGUUAAUCUUAAUUUAAACUGCUAGAUUAUCUAAAAAUAAUUUUUUCAAGACAGGUUAGGGACUCAGGAAUGGAAAUGCAGUAAAAGACCACCUAUAUUUAGAAACCAUCCUAAGCUCUGUCCCUGUGACGAGUUAGAUUGGUACUUGUAUUAGGUGAGCGUUUGAACUCUUAUUACCAAGUUGAUCAUAAUUGAUUUGUUCCACUGUAAUCACCUGUCUGGGAUGGGGCAAACAUGCAGAGACAGAUUCAUUGUUGAUUGUCUAUUCAACUACGAAUCAAACAGUCCAUUAUGUUCAAUGUCAUAUAAAGCCUCAUAAAAUAAUAGUGGAGGUUCUCAGUACAUUUUGGGACCAAUACUUUCUAUUUAAUUUUAACCCUUUUUGUCUCUGCUUUGUGUCAUUCCACAUGAAUGCUGUCUUCCUUGCACCAGAAGGUAGAUAUUUGAUUUUAACAUUUCCAUGUGUCAUCUUUAGAAGUGUAUCAGGACAGACCUUGAUUCAGUUCUUUAACAGUCUACAAAGCUCAAGUUAAAUACAUGGAGCUAACAUGUACCCAGUGAAUAUAAAGUAUUAAUCAGAUGGGAAUCAUGGCAUUUACUACCUAAAAAUAUAACUUAGUCAGGUGAGCAAUAUUAUGGCCCAAAUUUUGCAAUUGUAAUGAUGGCAAAACUACCUGUGUUCACUGUCGUUAUAACUGAAACUGAUAGCAAUUUGCAACAUCUGCAAUGGAAAUACUGAAGCUGCUGUCAGUGAUCCUGCUCCUCUGUAUGGUGUGCUCUUCAAGUCCUUGCAGAUGAAAUCUUAGAAAUCAUUAGAAUUGACAUGAAUUUCCACUUUUAUGCUUUUAGUCACGCUGUAAAAACAUUGUAAAGUUAUACCUUGUUGAAAGGUGUAACCAGGUUUUUAAACAGCAUACUAAGUCAUUAAUGCUGAAAAAUCUCUCUCGACUUGUAAAUCUAAUUUUAAUUUCUGGAAUGCCAAAUGUGUCUCAAAAAUAAUUCCAUAGAUUUAAAAAAAAAGUUGUUUUAUAUUUCAGUUUCUACCAUAAUCCCAAUCUUUCUUCACUCUCUAUGAGAUGAUUAAAGGGGAAGGAUAAUCAGUGCUUUGUACUUCUGCUUUCUUGUCUGUGAAAAUUCUUCAGUGUAAUUGGCUGCAUAGCCUGCUUGAUUACAUCAUUGCUGAACAUCAGAAAUUUGCCCACAGGUGGCAAGAGAAUUAAAUUAACAUUGGGAAUGUUGGAAUUCAUGCCAGAUAUCACUAAAGCGUUGUGGACAUCUUUCUUUAAAGUAAAUGGCAAAUGCUAUCACAAUCCUACUGACUGCAAAAUCUGGGUCUUUCUGCCUGGUGGCAUGAUGUUAACAGCACAGCAGCAUUGUCUGCUCACCAAUUGGGGGUGGGAGGGAGGAAAUGUUAUUUGUUAUUUUCUUCAGGUGAGCUUUGACUUCAAGACUGUUAUUGUAAUAUCCAAACAAUUGGAUAGUUUCAAAAUGUACUCAAUCUAAUGCCAGGACUGUAUGAUUACUGUUUUUUAUAAUUUGGUUGGCCAGUAAUGUGAUUAGUAGCUACAAGGUAUAAAAAUGCAUAAAUACUGUAAACUCAAAAGUUUUAGGUACAUUUACCAUUCGAUGAUUAAAAGAAACUGUGAAAAAUGCAGAUAUAUUACUGUUUACAUUGUAUAAACGGAUACAGUUGUAAUGAUCUGCAAUAAAGACAACUGGUCCAGAACUCCAC